GCCUACGUCGUCUUUGUAUCUCUCUCAUACGUUUCUGUCCACUUUCCCCCGCUCUAUUUAUAAUCAUCCUCGGGUUUCUUUCACUAUUGUCUGCUUAUUUCGGGUUAGACAAAGAUGAAUGCUUGGUGAUAGUCAUUAUGGCUGGUCAAGCACAGUUUGGUUAGAAAUACGGGUUUGCUUUUGCCUAUUCUUCCUUCAUUUGAAACUGGGUCCAAUCUCCAGAGGUUCCUUUUCAACAAAACACUCAGAGCUCGACUUCCGUGGCGGUUUCUCAACUUUAGAUGUUCAACUGGAGAUUCAAAGAAUGAGAGGUUAACCGUCCUGCUUCAGAGUAUCGAAACAAAAGCCUUGUAUUUGAUGCGGCAAAGAGAAGACUUGGCACGAGCAA